rnacentral:rRNA from 1 species
ACUACGGGUGGCAGCAGUGGGGAAUAUUGCACAAUGGGGGAAACCCUGAUGCAGCGACGCCGCGUGAAGGAAGAAGUAUUUCGGUAUGUAAACUUCUAUCAGCAGGGAAGAAAAUGACGGUACCUGACUAAGAAGCCCCGGCUAACUACGUGCCAGCAGCCGCGGUAAUACGUAGGGGGCAAGCGUUAUCCGGAUUUACUGGGUGUAAAGGGAGCGUAGGCGGUUUAGCAAGUCAGAAGUGAAAGCCCGGGGCUCAACUCCGGGACUGCUUUUGAAAAUGUUGAACUAGAUGGCAGGAGAGGUAAGUGGAAUUCCUGGUGUAGCGGUGAAAUGCGUAGAUAUUAGGAGGAACACCAGUGGCGAAGGCGGCUUACUGGACUGUAAAUGACGCUGAGGCUCGAAAGCGUGGGGAGCAAACAGGAUUAGAUACCCGAGUAGUC